rnacentral:rRNA from 1 species
GUGCGUAGGCGGGUAGGUUAGUCAGCGGGUGAAAUCUGGAGCUCCACUCCAGAACUGCCAUUGAUCCUAUCUAUCUUGAAUAUUGUGGAGGUAAGCGGAAUAUGUCAUGUAGCGGUGAAAUGCUUAGAUAUGACAUAGAACACCCAUUGCGAAGGCAGCUUACUACGCAUAUAUUGACGCUGAGGCACGAAAGCGUGGGGAUCAAACAGGAUUAGAUACCCUGGUAGUCCACGCCCUAAACUAUGGAUACUCGACAUAUGCGAUACACUGUAUGUGUCUGAGCGAAAGCAUUAAGUAUCCCACNGGGAAGUACGUUCGCAAGAAUGAAACUCAAAGGAAUUGGCGGGGGUCCGCACAAGCGGUGGAGUAUGUGGUUUAAUUCGAUGAUACGCGAGGAACCUUACCUGGGCUAGAAUGCUGGGAGACCGCUAGUGAAAGCUAGUUUUGUAGCAAUACACUGCCAGUAAGGUGCUGCAUGGCCGUCGUCAGCUCGUGCCGUGAGGUGUUGGGUUAAGUCCCGCAACGAGCGCAACCCCUAUCUUUAGUUGCCAACAGGUAAUGCUGGGAACUUUAAAGAAACUGCCGCCGUAAGGUGUGAGGAAGGAGGGGAUGAUGUCAGGUCAUCAUGGCCUUUAUGCCCAGGGCUACACACGUACUACAAUGGGGAAGACAAAGGGCUGCAACAUAGCGAUAUGAAGCCAAUCCCAAAAACUUCCUCUCAGUUCAGAUUGCAGGCUGCAACUCGCCUGCAUGAAGCUGGAAUCGCUAGUAAUCGUAUAUCAGCAAUGAUACGGUGAAUACGUUCCCGGACCUUGCACACACCGCCCGUCAAGCCAUGGGAGUCGGGUGUACCUAAAGUCGGUAACCGUAAGGAGCUGCCUAGGGUAAAAUCGAUGACUGGGGCUAAGUCGUAACAAGGUA